GGUUACGGCUGUUCAUUCAGUUCCAAAGAAACAAAUACUCCAACGAAAAGCGCUGCCAUCCGGUUUGGGAACAGAGGAAGAAACACAAAUGAGGGAAAAGAAAAAAUAAACCAAACUCAAAGGUCCGUGCCGUCUUACAGGUGCGGCGGAGAUGCUCGCGUUGCAGCUGGGCAUCCUUCGGGCGGUAUCCAGUAACGGCGGACAACUUGUCGAGAUUGUGUUGGGGGAGGCCAACACCACGAACCAUGUGUCACUGACUUGCCACCAUACUGCUUUGGAGGCUGGCAGAUAUGAGGAAGUCGUAGGGCGGCGCUCCCAGCGCGGAGAAGGCAACCAUAUUACUGGCUGGAAAGCAGAUGGGCUGAUGGGGCGUGGAGAUACCCUAGAAGAUGCGUCUGAUGCUAUCUUUGGGGGCACUUGAAGGCCAUGGUGUAUCAGGUGGAGAUACGAGACAUAAAUCAUCUCCAGGAACAUUUCACCAACGCCAUCACAAGCAGAACUUCAACUGUGCUGAUGCAAGUUCAUCAACAGUGGAAAACACGCAUUAAUAUGUGUUUUCCAAACAAUGGUAAUCAUAUAGAGCACAUUAUAGAAAUAAAAACGGUUGUCCAACAUAAAAUGUUUAUUUUUCCUAUGUAUGGACACUUAUGGCCCACCCUAUAUAUCGGUUCCAGGUAGUGGCUCUAAAAAACAAAACAAGUCGGUCAAUCCAAACUUUCUUCUUCUCUGGAUCUCACAGGUAGAAAAUCUAAAGAUUUAGUUAAUCAAAUCUGGAACUCUUUUCUUUAAGGGUGCUUUCACACCUACGUCUUUUAGUCCGCUUAAAGCGGACUGGAGUCCGCAACACCUGCAAGUACGGUUCGUUUGGGCUGAUGUGAAAGCAUACCAGAUUUUUUUGGUUCGGACUAACGAACCGCACCGAGACCACCUUUGGGAGGUGGUCUCGGUCCGCUUCUAUGUGAACUCCAGUUCGGUUCGCUCCUGGUGAGAACACAAACCUGUCUCCAUUCGGACCACUUGAUGGCGCAGCAGACUUUUUGGUCUACGGGAGCUUCCGUAGCAACCUGCACAGGGAAUUUUACGCCAAUCAGCGUACACCUACGUCAUCGUAAACGCCUUGUUUUGUAAACAGCGCCGCCAAACGACUGGGGGGAGAUAUAACAUUAAUUGGAGUAGGUUCACCUGCGAAAACACUGGUGUGAAUGCGAACCGAACCAGUUGAAAAUAGCAACAUUGUAACAACUUUUGGGUCCAAACGAACCACUUUAGCGGACUAACAGGUGUGAAAGUACCCUAACUCUUGAUUCAAACAGCUGGAGCUGCUCGGUACUCAGUCACAUCUUUGCCUUCCUCUUAACCUCAUGACAGCGAUGCCCUGCAGCUCAGGAAGCCCAAUGAUUGGACCUAAACCAUGAGAAGAAGAAGAAAUUCUCCCACCAGAUCCAAUGACAGAGCACUCAGAGAGCUGAGGAGGGGUCCACGCUGGGAGAGUCAAGAGGAUAAAAUGAGGUGAAUGGAUCCCAGUGAAGCUGCUUACCUUGGGGGAGGAGGAGGCCAGCUCUCUGCCCAUCACUGCUGCCACCGGACCGGGCCCCACCAAACCAGGCCCCACUAGGCUGGG